rnacentral:rRNA from 1 species
AGCGAACGCUGGCGGCAGGCCUAACACAUGCAAGUCGAACGAACUCUUCGGAGUUAGUGGCGGACGGGUGAGUAACACGAGGGAACGUGCCUUUAGGUUCGGAAUAACUCAGGGAAACUUGUGCUAAUACCGAAUGUGCCCUUCGGGGGAAAGAUUUAUCGCCUUUAGAGCGGCCCGCGUCUGAUUAGCUAGUUGGUGAGGUAAAGGCUCACCAAGGCGACGAUCAGUAGCUGGUCUGAGAGGAUGAUCAGCCACAUUGGGACUGAGACACGGCCCAAACUCCUACGGGAGGCAGCAGUGGGGAAUCUUGCGCAAUGGGCGAAAGCCUGACGCAGCCAUGCCGCGUGAAUGAUGAAGGUCUUAGGAUUGUAAAAUUCUUUCACCGGGGACGAUAAUGACGGUACCCGGAGAAGAAGCCCCGGCUAACUUCGUG